rnacentral:lncRNA from 1 species
CAAAACAAAGACUUCAUUUUACAACUGAGGUGAUUGCAUAAAGAAUAUUCAUCAAACAAUAAAUGUCAUGACCGUAAAAUGAGAAUUUUCUUUGGAUAAUAAUACAUAAUUUUCCAAGGUAAAACUAGAAUAUGUGGCUGCUGGAAUACUGUAAAGCUUGUUUGCUUAACUUCUACUAUCCAAAUUGAACCAUGCUGUAAAC